CAUAAAACGAAAGCAGAUUGUUGUGUUUUUCUACUGGCAUGUUAAAACCUAAACUAUAGAUUUUUUUGAUGGAAAGGUGGUAAGAGUGUCCUCUGGUGGUUGUGUCCCUUACUACAUCUCCCUGCUGUCCAUUGGUUGCCUGGUACAUUUCCACUGCGUGAAGCCUCAGACUGCAGCAAGAACGGCCUGAUAGUGAGCUCUGAUGUUCAAAGUCUCGUCUCAGCCGCGGUGGAGAAGUCAGCAGCAUGAAAGGGGUUUUCUUCUGAGGCUUGCACAGUAAUGACAGGCUGGGUCACAGACCCACAUCAGACGAAGGAGGACAAAAGAAACGCCUUCUCUGGCCAAAGCCCUGUAAAGCCGACAUGCUCCUGACUGAGAUUAUGCAACCAUUACAUCCUGAGAACCAGAGAAAAUCACAGCGAUAAUGUCACCGGAGCUACUGUAUGUUUGAUUACGGAUGGAGCUAAACUUUGCAGGACAGUGGCUCUCCAGGACCAGAGCUGCUCAUCCCUGAUUAUGUUAUGCAAACUUGGCUGUCAGGGGAAGAGGAAAGAAUAUGUGUUUUGUAAAGCAAUUGAGAUGAAGACUAAGAGCUGUAGUCUGAAAUAAAAUCAGGGCCAUAAAUCAAGACCUCAAUUGUGGUGUCAAUUGUGAGUUUUCAUCAAACCAGCAGGAAUAUUCAGUCUACAAGAGCAGACUGCAUUUUGGCAUUUUGUAUUUGCAUGAGCAAAGACUACAUAAAAGGGGAAGAGAAAAUUCCCAUCACCAAUAUGUCCAGGUAAAAUGUCUAGGGUUUCAAAAUCAACUAAACUGUUUUGUUAUAUGCUACUUUCAACUUGGCCAAAACAAGACAAGAUAAAGGAAUGUGUCUGGGAGUAAACUUGGAUGUACAAGAGGAAAAAAGGGUAUCCACAUCCAACCUGCAUUGACCACAUAAUACAAUACAAAUGCAUCUCUAUUAUUUAAUCCAAAUUAAUAAACAAAUG